GAUUAUGGCUCAGGAUGAACGGCUGGCGGCGUGCCUAAUACAUGCAAGUCGAACGGGGUGGAUGGGAGCUUGCUCCUUGAUACCUAGUGGCGAACGGGUGAGUAACACGUAGGUAACCUGCCUUUAAGCUUGGGAUACCCAGAGGAAACUUUGGCUAAUACCGGAUAACAACAGAAGAGGCAUCUCUUUUGCUUGAAAGGCCCUGCAAGGGGUCACUUAAAGAUGGACCUGCGGCGCAUUAGCUAGUUGGUGAGAUAACAGCCCACCAAGGCGAGGAUGCGUAGCCGACCUGAGAGGGUGAUCGGCCACAUUGGAACUGAGACACGGUCCAAACUCCUACGGGAGGCAGCAGUAAGGAGUUUUCGGCAAUGGGGGAAACCCUGACCGAGCAACGCCGCGUGAGUGAUGAACCGGCCCUAUGGGUUGUAAAGCUCUGUUGUAAGGGGUGAAUGACUAGCUGAGGAAAUGCAGUUAGUUUGACAGUACCUUACCAGAAAGCCACGGCUAACUACGUGCCAGCAGCGGC
rnacentral:rRNA from 1 species